rnacentral:rRNA from 1 species
AUAGUUUUUUCUGCUCAAUGUAAAUAGCCGCAGUACUCUGACUGUGCAAAGGUAGCAUAAUAAUUUGUCUUUUAAUUGAAGUCUGGAAUAAACGAAUUAUGAAGAAAACUGUCUUUAUAUUUAUUUUAAUUUAAUUAUGAAGUGAAAAUACUUCAUCUUACAAAAGACGAGAAGACCCUAAAAAUUUUUAUUUUUGUUGGGGCAACAUUGUAUUACAAUAAAAAAAUAUUUUUAAAAUAAUAAAUUACUUUAGGGAUAACAGCAUAAUUUAUUAUGUUUGUGACCUCGAUGUUGGAUUAGGAAAAGUUAAAA